GUUUCUGAGAAGAGAGGCUGCCUCUUCCAGGAACAAAGUGGUGUCUGCUGCCUGCCUGGCUUGGGAACCUUCUAUGAAUUAAAGGGGACAAAAUGAGCGGUCGUGGUUCGCUACAGUGAUUGAGAAGAGGAAAGAGACUGAGAGGCAGAGGGAGAAGUCGCACCUUGGAGCAAGGCUGUGUUGUUGCAUCCUGCUGCUGCCCUUUCUAGGUUGCUGUUCCUGCAGCUGCGUUUGCUCUCACCCAUCAGGGAAAAUCAAGGGUACUUCUUUUUCUGACAUGAAUGUAAAAUGAAAGACAUUGGUGGUCAUAUGCUCACGACUGUCAAGAGAGAACACUUCACUAUGGACUCUGACUUGAAUGUAAUUACCCUGGGUGAAGCAUACCUGUGAAGAAAGAAAGAGCAAUGAACCAACUUCAACAGGCUUCUGAAACAUGAUAUCAUCUACUGUUACCACAUAUGGCCGAGAACCUCCAAAGCUACAAGCAGUAGCCCAUGCAAGUUCAUAUGCUUUUCUCAUAAGAAAACCACCAAAGAUCCGAUUGAAUACAUUUCGUUCCUGAGGGUGACAAAUAUCCAAGCUCUUGAGUUUUGUAUCCUCCAUCCACACUGCCUUAGGAGGCAAAAUUCGACUCUGAAAACUUAUAGUCUUUGGAUCCAGUGUGCUAAGAA
rnacentral:lncRNA from 1 species